rnacentral:rRNA from 1 species
GCAUAUCAAUAAGCGGAGGAAAAGAAACCAACAGGGAUUGCCCUAGUAACGGCGAGUGAAGCGGCAACAGCUCAAAUUUGAAAUCUGGCUUCGGCCCGAGUUGUAAUUUGCAGAGGAAGCUUUAGGCGCGGCACCUUCUGAGUCCCCUGGAACGGGGCGCCAUAGAGGGUGAGAGCCCCGUAUAGUUGGAUGCCUAGCCUGUGUAAAGCUCCUUCGACGAGUCGAGUAGUUUGGGAAUGCUGCUCAAAAUGGGAGGUAAAUUUCUUCUAAAGCUAAAUACCGGCCAGAGACCGAUAGCGCACAAGUAGAGUGAUCGAAAGAUGAAAAGCACUUUGAAAAGAGGGUUAAAUAGCACGUGAAAUUGUUGAAAGGGAAGCGCUUGUGACCAGACUUGCGCCGGGCGGAUCAUCCGGUGUUCUCACCGGUGCACUCCGCCCGGCUCAGGCCAGCAUCGGUUCUCGCGGGGGGAUAAAGGUCCUGGGAACGUAGCUCCUCCGGGAGUGUUAUAGCCCGGGGCGUAAUGCCCUCGCGGGGACCGAGGUUCGCGCAUCUGCAAGGAUGCUGGCGUAAUGGUCAUCAGCGACCCGUCUUGAAACACGGACCAAGGAGUCAAGGUUUUGCGCGAGUGUUUGGGUGUAAAACCCGCACGCGUAAUGAAAGUGAACGUAGGUGAGAGCUUCGGCGCAUCAUCGACCGAUCCUGAUGUUUUCGGAUGGAUUUGAGUAGGAGCGUUAAGCCUUGGACCCGAAAGAUGGUGAACUAUGCUUGGAUAGGGUGAAGCCAGAGGAAACUCUGGUGGAGGCUCGCAGCGGUUCUGACGUGCAAAUCGAUCGUCAAAUCUGAGCAU